rnacentral:rRNA from 1 species
GAUGAACGCUAGCGGCAGGCUUAAUACAUGCAAGUCAAGGGGGUAGCAAUACAACCGGCGCACGGGUGAGUAACGCGUACACAACAUACCAUAUACUGGAGUAUAGCUUUGGGAAACUGAAGGUAAUCCUCCAUAACAUUGCGAGAGGGCAUCUGAUUGCAAUUAAAGUUUCGGCGGUAUAUGAUUGGUGUGCGUUUGAUUAGCUAGUUGGUAGGGUAACGGCCUACCAAGGCGACGAUCAAUAGCUGGCGUGAGAGCGCGACCAGCCACACUGGAACUGAGACACGGUCCAGACUCCUACGGGAGGCAGCAGUAGGGAAUAUUGGACAAUGGAGGAAACGUACUGAUCCA